rnacentral:rRNA from 1 species
AUGGCUCUUGGGCGCCGGCGCCGCGGGGCCGGGGGCCUCCCCAUCGGCGUCGCCCCCGCCGCGGCCGAGCAGGCCGCAGAGGAUGGCGAAGAGCACGAGGCAGAGGUUGACGACGUCCCAGCCGCUCUUGAGCGUGAUCCCUCCGCGCUGGAAUCCGCCGCCGCCUCGGCGCACCGCGGAGGGGAGGAAGAGCAGCAGGAGCAGGGAGAAGAGGAGCACGAGGAGCCAGACCUUGGCGCCGGCGGCGGUGCCAUUGUCGUCGGCGUCGGCGGUGGAGUAGGAGGAGGUGCUAGGACCCGUGCCGUCAGCGCCGGAACCGGUCCUCUCCAUGGCGCCCGUGUUGAUUCCUCGCGUCGUCGCACGGUUGAGAUGCGAAAGCCAAAAGCGCAGAAAGGCCAAAGCGGCGGCGGCAGCAGCAGCAGCAGCAAGAUGGUUCGUGUGUGGAGCUUUUUGGAUCUCUCUCUCUCUCUCUCUCUCUCUCUCUCUCUCUCUCUCUCUCUCUCUCUCUCUCUCUCUAUUUCGCUAAUCUGCUGGCCUGCUCUGUCUGCGUCUACUUUCUUGUUGGCUGGUUAUAUACGUGAGGUGAGGUGA